rnacentral:rRNA from 1 species
AUUGAACGCUGGCGGCAGGCCUAACACAUGCAAGUCGAAUGGUAACAGGAAACAGCUUGCUGUUUCGCUGACGAGUGGCGGACGGGUGAGUAAUGUCUGGGAAACUGCCUGAUGGAGGGGGAUAACUACUGGAAACGGUAGCUAAUACCGCACAACGUCGCAAGACCAAAGAGGGGGACCUUCGGGCCUCUUGCCAUCAGAUGUGCCCAGAUGGGAUUAGCUAGUAGGUGGGGUAACGGCUCACCUAGGCGACGAUCCCUAGCUGGUCUGAGAGGAUGACCAGCCACACUGGAACUGAGACACGGUCCAGACUCCUACGGGAGGCAGCAGUGGGGAAUAUUGCACAAUGGGCGCAAGCCUGAUGCAGCCAUGCCGCGUGUAUGAAGAAGGCCUUCGGGUUGUAAAGUACUUUCAGCGGGGAGGAAGGGAGUAAAGUUAAUACCUUUGCUCAUUGACGUUACCCGCAGAAGAAGCACCGGCUAACUCCGUG